GCUCGAGUGGUGGAACUGGCAUACACGUACGCUUCAGGAGCGUAUGACCGCAAGGUCGUGGGAGUUCAAAUCUCCCCUCGAGCACCA
rnacentral:tRNA from 7 species